CAGAAAACUCCAGAAAGAUGAGCUCUGGUAGCACAGCUCCAGGGUACAACAGCAAUAGAAAGCAGAGAUUGCUGGAAUUUGCUUUAAGUAAUCAAUUUGGAAAACAUCUGUGAUUUUAACAGCUGGUUCAAUCAAGCAGGACUACACAAGCACAGCAUGUACAUUCCAGACUUGUGAAUGGGAUUCCCUACAGCAGGCGUGGGAGGGAGUUAGGCAUCUUUCUUGUCUUCCGCAGGCAGUGGCUCUGGAAUAUUUUCCUGCAUGACAGUGCUGCUUCAGCAGAAGAGGUAAGGAAUGUUCCCACCCAAAAUAAGCCCUCGCCAGGAGAUUAACUCUCCAGAGGUAG
rnacentral:lncRNA from 1 species